UACGGAGGGGGCUAGCGUUGUUCGGAAUUACUGGGCGUAAAGCGCACGUAGGCGGAUUGGAAAGUCAGGGGUGAAAUCCCGGGGCUCAACCCCGGAACUGCCUUUGAAACUCCCAGUCUGGAGGUCGAGAGAGGUGAGUGGAAUUCCGAGUGUAGAGGUGAAAUUCGUAGAUAUUCGGAGGAACACCAGUGGCGAAGGCGGCUCACUGGCUCGAUUCUGACGCUGAGGUGCGAAAGCGUGGGGAGAAAACAGG
rnacentral:rRNA from 1 species